UCACAGUUUCCAACGUGUAAUCAUUACAUGUGGCUCGGCGACUGCUUUUAAACAUGAACCCGCCGUAAUCCCGUGCCUUCUUGCCGGUUUGAUGUCCAUUUGCCUGUGCGGCUGGACUUGUGGUCGAAACGACAAUAUUAAGGUGGAAUAGUAUUAAGAGGAGUCAUUCAGUGCGGCCUGCGGGGCAACGUACUUUGACGCUGCUGCUUUGUUUUUACUCUGCUUUGCUUUGUUUUUCGUUGUUUUGUGUUACUUUACUUUGUCUGUUUUGCUAGCUUUGUUUGCUUUGCUAGCUUUAUGCUUGGUUGCUUUGCUAGUUUUGUUUAUGCUUUGUUUUACUUAAUUUUGUAUGCUUUGUUUUACUUUACUUUGUUUGUUUGCUAGCUUUGUUUAUGAUUUUGUUUGACUCAUUGUAUAUUCAUUCAAACACAACAUUCAAUUAUUAUUUCUAUUAUUUCUUGUGUGAUUUAAAUUUGGUUAACAGUGUCUUUGUUAUAGGAACCGAGGCUUCAGGCAGACGGCUAGUUGGCCUUGGCGUGCGGUGGUGGGACUCUAUCACAGGGUGCAGUGUGUUCACGCUUGGUCUUACCGUGUUUGUGUGAGUGUGUGGUGCUCUUGUGCAUUUGGUGUUAUGCUCCUGGCGAUAUAGUAGCCGCAUACUCAUUAGGCUAGUUUUACCUGCUUUAGGUAAGCCUCGGUUUCCUUUUAUGCCUAUUUUAUUCCAGCCCAUGUUUUAAAAGUAAUAUUUAUUGUGAAAUAAAACAUUUUUUUUGUAUCUUUGGUA